UUAAAGAAAGGACUUGUGUCGCUAUAGUUUCGUCGGAAAGAAAUUAUACGGGAAACAAACUAACGACCAGAGACGUCACAGAACCAUCUAUUUGUGGGACUAAUAAGUCAUUUCUAAGUAUUUUUGUCAUUCUGAUAUGAAUAAUUAAGUUGUUUGCUUGCCCUCAGAAAAUGUGUGUAUGUAUAGCCAUCAGAAGACACCUGAGGACAGAAGGAAAGAACUGGAAGAGAGCUUACAUUUAAAUAGCACAGUAAUGGGUGAAAAUCAGAAAUAUCCAAGUUUUUUCAAUUUUGGACUGUGGACUAUGACCAUUACUUUUCUUGUCAUGGCAUUGCUUUUUGGACUUCUUGGAGCAAUUUUUGGAGUCUUAAACACUGUUACAACACCUGUUGAACUUAUAACUGGGAUGUUAGGCCUUUAUGUUUGGAACAUUUUAGGAGCGAUAGCUUCUCUAAUGACGAUCAUAAUGUGGGCAGUCUUGUUUCAUACUGCCUUGAAAAACAACAUUAUGACACAGGAAGAAAUUGAAGAAAAAUGGACUUCCAAGGAUAAGGCAUAUUUAUCAAAUAGUUUUUGGUAUGUUCUUAUUGCCUUAAUUUUCUAUUUGUUAAACAAUGUUCUUAUAUAUCUAGCUAUAACUCAACCAUGGGAACGUAGACAGCCAAAGGCAGCCCCUGACCAAAAUCCAAGUGGAGUUAUAAUGUUAUAUUGAGAAACAAACAAACUAAAGUCACUUAUUAGCGAUGCCUGUUUUGUUGAAAGUUGCAGUCUUCUACAGUGUCAAUUCUUGAUAAUUUUCAGAAGUAAUUCUAGUUGAAAACUAUUUAUGCUGGAUUUUACACAAUUAUCUUUUUACACUUUGGAUUAAAAACUUUCACACUGAGUACACAGGGAAAACUAAUUGAACAAUUCUGUCAUGGAUUUAAAUACACUUGAUGUGGAAAUAUUUUACUAAGCAAUUUGUUCCUGAUGUAGUUAAUUAGACUUAUGCAAAUAGAGGGAGAAAAAAUGUGUGGGUUUUAUGCUUUAUAAAAUGAAAUCAACAAGAGUAUUUUUAAAUGUUAAAAAUCUAGCAAAAUAAAAAAUGUAUGCUAAUCUCUGUAUAAUUUUACAUGAUGAUAGGUUGCAAGGGGUUGAUUUCGACAUUGAAUGCAUUUUUAGUUCUAAUAUAAUAUAAGACUGGUUUCUGUUCUGAGUAGGCUUUAAUAAAACAGUAGAACUAGAGUAAAAAUCCAGAACUUCUGGUUUGAAUUACCACUAAACUGUGUUUACACCCAGAAAGAAACUGUUAACUUUUCUUCUAAGGCAUAUGCUAUUAUUUUUUGUGGUUUUCUUGAAUGGUAAUGUUGUUAUUACAAAUGGACAUUGUAAAAUUAUUCAGAUUGAAAUAAAAUAACCAGUAAAAUUUGGCUUGCUACAACACCUAUUGGCUGCCCAUAAAUGUUUCUAAAUUGAUAAAGUCAAUUUUCAGAACAAACGAGUUUACUUAUCCCUCCAUUGUUAAAACUCCAUUUUCAAAUUGCUGUCAGUUAUGGAAUUCCUUAGCCAUGCUUUAUAUUAUAAUAUCAUUACUUUAGAAAAUUUGCUGGGCAUCAGAAGCACUUAUAGUCAGUGUUUUUUUAUUUCACUGUUGCACUAUUUGCUAUAUAACUUGGCACUUCCAUUUUCUUUUGGAGAAUGUUACUAGGCUCUUCAUUGUUAGAAAAUAUCACAUCCGUUGCUGUUAAUUAGCCUGCAUGUUUUAUUUGUAGGUUUUUCUUGACCUUUAAUAGUGAGAAGAAAGAAAAAUUAUCUAAUGCAUUUUAAUUUUAUGAGAAAUGGAUGUUGUUUCAUGUGUAGUAGUUGCUCACACUUAGCCAUAGUAUGUGAUUAAAUAGGUGUGAAAAACUUUUUUUUCAACGUAAGUGAUGAAGUGAUCAACAACUUGACAAGUUCUUAUAUAGGUUAGAGUUGAGAGGCUAGUGAAAAUAAAAGCUAAGUAACUGUGUAGACUUAAAGUUUUUUAAGAGGUAAUCCUCUGCCCUUGGUAAAAUACAACUCUUUAAAGUGUUUUAACAACUCAUUAUAUAGCUAAAUAGAUCAAAAUUAAGUGUAACAUUUAUUGUAACUUCCUAGACACACGUAGCAUUGAAUUUUCUACUCUUAUCAUAAAUAUAUUGUAGAAAAUCAAGAAUGAACAUGAAAUUCUGUGCCUUCAUUAUCUAUACACAUUGUUGUAUCAAUUCUGGCUAUGGUUUAUGUGAUAAUUAGCUUUGCUUGACCUGUUAAAAAUAUAACGGGUUGGAGUUUUGAACCCCCUCCCCCCAGGGGCUUCUGCCCUUCCUUCAGUAUAGUAUUGAAAUUAUGCAAUAAAAAGGUCUAACAUCAUGUUGUAGAAUAACAUUAUAAGCUUAUUUAUUGAUUGUAUUAACUACAGUAAAGUUUAGCCCUAAUUAAACUAGAGUAAAAAGCAUGCACAAGUUACAGUGGUAACUUAUGUAUUUAUCGAAUAUAAGAUGUAUUUAAUAAAGGCUUAACUAAUGUUAGGCCUAAAAAAGCGGAUUUAUACAUUUCGGUGUCUGCAGUUAGAAUUCUUUUGUAUUAUUGUGAAAUUGAAAGUUCUGAUAUGACAGCUUAAUACUUGGCAUUUCCUGUUAAGUUAGUUAGCUGGAAAUAUAAUUGAUCAUGGUUUAGGCCUACGAUCCUGUAUUUAAAGAAGUAAUGUUGCUAUAAAGAUAUUAAUUUGACUGCAUAUGUUUUGCAGUCUGCUAGUUUUUAUCAUAAAAACAGAAUUAUGUUUUUAGAUAUUAGUUUAUUGCAAUUAUAUGUUGUUUAUUUAGCACAAAGCUAUGCAAUGGGCAGUCUGUGCUCUGUCCACCAUGGGAAAUUUAAUUCCAGAUUUUAAGGGUGCAAGUCCAUAAACUUAUAGAUGUGUUUCUUAAUCAUUUAGUUACCAUUGUUACAUUCAAUAUGAUGGCCCUGUUAGCAUGUAUAGUGAGAUGUGGUUCAAUAUAAGCUAGAAUCAUCAUCACGAAUAAAGACAUCUGUGUAGUAAGAUGUAGUUCAAUACAAUUAGAGUCAUCACAAAUAAAGCAACUUUGCAAUUUUGAACUUUUAACAUGUAAAUACAUCAAAUAUAGGGUACCACAUUUUCACCAUUUUUGGCAUUAGUCAGGAAACAGAUGAAAGCUAUUCACUGAUUUGUUAUUUCUUAACCAGUACUGGUGAUUUAGUCGAUCACAGUGCAAGGUUAUUUGUAUCUUGUGUCACAUAUGAGUAUAAGAAUGUGUACUUUGAAACAAAUAUUCUUAGGGUCAAAGGGGUUUAUAUUUUAAUAACAGUAGAGUUGAAUAGUACAAUUCUUGAAAUGAACUUAAUAAUAAAUCAAGCCACAAAAAACUAUGAAAAAAUUUAUCAAUCAAGAAUUUUUUUUUAACUUAAAUAAUUCAUUAUAAAGCAAUUCACUUUUUUGUUUUUAAAUGUAAUCAGAAUUGCAAAUUUUCUGUCCUAUUGUGAUAUUCCAUAGUAAUUGUUUACUAACAUUUCAGAAAUGAAAAGCUAAAUGGUAUUAAGAAUUCAUCAGAAAGCUACUUAAGUUUAAUUUUGUCUGAAGACUUUUUAAAUUUAUUUUCUUUCACAUUAGACUGCUUUUGUCAAAUUGUUUCUUUUUGAGUAAAAUCUUGUCAGGAAAAAAGCAAUUGAUAAAUCAGCAAGUACAUAGAUUUGAAAGAAAAACUGUAUUGAAGUUUAAUAAUAUUGUAAAUUACUCAAACUUUUUAAUUGUUAAAGAAAGUAUAUCAUUAUUUUGUAUGAAAGUAACCAAAAGAUAUUCUAAUAAUGUUAGGUGCUAUACUAUGCUAGCAAGCCUAACAUUAAAGUGAUUGUUAUUUUGUUGCACUAAUUAUAAGCUUGUUGAAAAAAAAGUAGUUUGUAUAGUCAGCAUGUGCCAAAAAAAAACUUCCAAAUAUUUUUCUUUGUAGUCUAUUUGAUAGUUAUUAAUAAUGAUUUCAUAUAAGACUUGUUUUUGUAGUAGUAGUGUUACAUUUUGCUGUGAAGCAGCUUUUUGUGUAAGAUAUAACAAUUUUUCUCCACCAUAUUCUGACAUCACUUUCCAUGAAAUAAAUCAUUUUUGCAACAUAAACAUUAGUGAACUUUCUCUUGCUACUUGAAAGAUAUACUUUCUCUUUUAAUUUGUUUUUCAUGUGGACAUAGGUUUAAUAAUAUCUGCAAGGUGUAUGUAUGAAUUUCAAACAAUUUCUGAGUGAUUAUGAUGAAAUAUUUAAAAGUGUAUUGUUGCUUCUUAUCUAUUUAUAAUAAAAUGA
rnacentral:misc_RNA from 1 species